rnacentral:rRNA from 1 species
AUUGAACGCUGGCGGCAGGCCUAACACAUGCAAGUCGAGCGCGCGGCGGACGGGUGAGUAAUGUAUGGGGACUGCCCGAUAGAGGGGGAUAACUACUGGAAACGGUAGAUAAUACCGCAUACUAUCGGAUAACCCAUAUGGGAUUAGCUAGUAGGUGAGGUAAUUGCUCACCUAGGCGAUGAUCCCUAGCGGGUCUUAGCGGAUGAUCAGCCACCGUAGGACUGAGACACAGGCCAGACGCAUACGGAGUCAGCAGUGGGGAAUAUUGGACGAUGGGCGCAAUCCUGGUGCAGCCAUGCCGCGUGUAUGAAGAAGUCCCUAGGUAUGUAAAGGACUUUCAGUCGGGAGGCGUUACCGACAGAAGAAGCACCGGCUAACUCCGGGCCAGAGGCCGCGGUAAUAC